UCUAUAUUUAAAAAAUAAGAAAAAAAACCGCCAAACCCCGAAAAACUUACUGGGUAAAUAGCCCAAGGCAAAUAACUAAAGCUCAAAACAAGCGUGACUCAGCAGUCACUCUGAAUGUCUUCAUCAGCUGCUGCCGGCUACACCCAGACGAGCCAACCACCUCCCGGAAAACUGCAUUCUGUAAGUGUCUGUGUGACUCACGGCUGCCCUGCCCACUCGAUAUGAAUAUCAAAGGAGUCCAGAACCACAUGAAUUUCAACAAGGGGAAGUGCUGGAUUCUGCACCUGGGAUGGGGCAACCCUGGAUGUACAGCCA